rnacentral:rRNA from 1 species
CACGGGGGGAGCAAGCGUUGUUCGGAAUUACUGGGCGUAAAGCGUGCGCAGGCGGCUUCUCAAGUCAGGGGUGAAAGCCCAGAGCUCAACUCUGGAAUUGCCUUUGAGACUGAGUGGCUUGAGUACGAGAGAGGUGAGUGGAAUUCCCAGUGUAGAGGUGAAAUUCGUAGAUAUUGGGAAGAACAUCGGUGGCGAAGGCGGCUCACUGGCUCGUAACUGACGCUCAUGCACGACAGCGUGGGGAUCAAACAGG